rnacentral:rRNA from 1 species
GAUGAACGCUAGCGGCAGGCCUAACACAUGCAAGUCGAGGGGUAACAUAGAAAAGCUUGCUUUUCUGAUGACGACCGGCGCACGGGUGCGUAACGCGUAUACAACCUACCUUUUAGCGGGGAAUAGCCCAGGGAAACUUGGAUUAAUGCCCCAUAGUAUAUAGACUUCUCCUGAAGUUUAUAUUAAACAUUUAUGGCUAUUAGAUGGGUAUGCGUCCUAUUAGUUAGUUGGUAAGGUAACGGCUUACCAAGGCAGCGAUAGGUAGGGGUCCUGAGAGGGAGAUCCCCACACUGGUACUGAGACACGGACCAGACUCCUACGGGAGGCAGCAGUGAGGAAUAUUGGACAAUGGGCGAGAGCCUGAUCCAGCCAUGCCGCGUGCAGGAAGACUGCCCUAUGGGUUGUAAACUGCUUUUACAGAGGAAGAACCACCCCCACGUGUGGGGGUUUGACGGUACUCUGCGAAUAAGGAUCGGCUAACUCCGUG